UUUCCGUAGGUGAACCUGCGGAAGGAUCAUUAACACCGUUUUUUAGCCGCUCUCUGCUGCCCCUAAUUUUUUUUGGGGGUAGUAGGUGGACGGCUUUCAAAACACAAUUUUUCCAACCCCAAAAAUUCUUUGUGAACAUUUAGUAUUUUCCCUCAUAUCAUAAACACCAAAUGCAAUACAUCAUUUUAUAACUAAAAAAAUUUCGAGACUUUUUGUUUCGAAUAUUUUUAUUUUUUAAAAACAAACUGAACAACUCUUAACAACGGAUAUCUUGGUUCUC
rnacentral:misc_RNA from 1 species